rnacentral:tRNA from 1 species
GAUAGCUCAGGUAGAGCAUGAGACUCUUAAUCUCAGGGUUGUGGGUUUGACCCCACGCA